UACGAAGGGGGCUAGCGUUGCUCGGAAUGACUGGGCGUAAAGGGCGCGUAGGCGGAUGGCACAGUCAGAUGUGAAAUUCCCGGGCUUAACCUGGGGGCUGCAUUUGAUACGUGUGAUCUAGAGUGAGGAAGAGGGUCGUGGAAUUCCCAGUGUAGAGGUGAAAUUCGUAGAUAUUGGGAAGAACACCGGUGGCGAAGGCGGCGACCUGGUCCUUGACUGACGCUGAGGCGCGAAAGCGUGGGGGGAGCAAACAGGAUUAGAUACCCUGGUAGUCCACGCUGUAAACGAUGUGUGCUGGAUGUUGGGCGACCUAGUCGCUCAGUGUCGUAGCUAACGCGAUAAGCACACCGCCUGGGGAGUACGGCCGCAAGGUUGAAACUC
rnacentral:rRNA from 1 species